rnacentral:rRNA from 1 species
UAGAACUACGGGCCAGUGUGCGAGGGAAGACGUAGAGUGGAAGGGGUGACCGGAAUCACUGGGGGGAAAGGUUGAGGAGGCGGGAAGGUAAGUUAGGAGUGAAAUCUUGCGGCUUAACCGUAAAAGUGCUUCUAAUACUGCUUUUCUUGAGUACGGAAGAGAAUGAUGGAAUUCCUGGUGUAGCGGUGAAAUGCGUAGAUAUCAGGAAGAACACCAGUGGCGAAGGCGGUCAUUUGGUCCGUUACUGACGCUCAGGCACUAAAGCGUGGGGAUCAAACAGGAUUAGAUACCCGGGUAGUC